rnacentral:tRNA from 1 species
GCCAGUGUGAUGUAGUGGUUUGAGUGCUGGAUUAGGACUCUGGAGACCAAGGUUCAAACCCCUGCUUGGCCA